rnacentral:rRNA from 3 species
GGACUACCGGGGUUUCUAAUCCCGUUUGCUCCCCUGGCUUUCGCGCCUCAGCGUCAGAAGAGGUCCAGCAGCUCGCUUUCGCCACCGGCGUUCCUUCCGAUAUCAACGCAUUUCACCGCUCCACCGGAAGUUCCAGCUGCCCCUACCUCGCUCGAGACCCGCAGUAUCCAAGGCUAUUUUCCGGUUGAGCCGAAAGAUUUCACCCCGGACUUGCGAACCCGCCUACGCGCCCUUUAAGCCCAGUGAUUCCGAACAACGUUCGCACGGUUCGUCUUACCGCGGCUGCUGGCAC